AUGUCCUCAUCAUCGUCCUCCUCUCUCCCCGUGCCAGCGGACUGGCUGCUCCCUCUGAUGCCCUGCCCUCUGUGUGGCGACGAGGUUGUCACCGCCGUCGCUAGGACCGGCAACAACGCCGGUCAUCGUUUCUACAAGUGCAUCCGCUACGAUUGUCGUUUCUUCGAGUUCCAGCGCACAUAUUGCAGGAGGAUGACUCAGGACCAGAUUGUUGCUGCGCGGCAUCAAGCCGGAUGGCACCCGGCUGGGCAUGGAUUUGCAGUUCAUCAUGGCAACCCGCCUGUCCAGAUGGUUCCAGCUGUCAUACAACCCCAGGCGCAACAGCACGCCCAGCCGCAUCUUCCGCCGCAGAUCCAGGCUGCGAUGCACCAGUCACCGCAGGCGGUCAACAAUAUGUUUGCUGAAGCCAUCAUGCCAGCUGCGUCGGCCGGGGCAGCAUCUGGUGCACAAGGACUGGCCGCAGUUGUCGUGCUCAUGGCUACUGUCAACAUCUUGCUCACCGUUGCCGUCCUGAUGGUCGUGCUUGCUAUGUACUUUGCUUAA
rnacentral:rRNA from 1 species